GCAUUGCUGAGGAGUCCCAAACCAGGACGGAACGGUCGUCCAGUGC
rfam:Schistosoma margrebowiei strain Zambia genome assembly, scaffold: SMRZ_scaffold0003443